rnacentral:rRNA from 1 species
CUAAGAAUAUUCCGCAAUGAACGAAAGUUUGACGGAGCGACACCGCGUGGAUGACGAAGGCCGAAAGGUUGUAAAAUUCUUUUGCAGAUGAAGAAUAAAGUUGGUAGGGAGUGAUCGACUGAUGACGUUAGUCUGCGAAUAAGCCCCGGCUAAUUACGUG